GUGCAGCAGUCGCGAAAACUCCGCAAUGCACGAAAGUGUGACGGGGCUACCCCGAGUGCCGUCCGCUGAGGAUGGCUUUUCCUCGGUGUAACUAGCCGGGGGAAUAAGGGGAGGGCAAGACUGGUGUCAGCCGCCGCGGUAAUACCAGCUCUCCGAGUGGUAGGGAUGAUUAUUGGGCUUAAAGCGUCCGUAGCCGGCUUAGCAAGUCUCCUGUUAAAUUCAGCGACCUAAUCGUUGAGCCGCGGGAGAUACUACUAGGCUAGGAGGCGGGAGAGGCCGACGGUACUUCCGGGGUAGGGGUGAAAUCCUAUAAUCCCGGGCGGACCACCAGUGGCGAAGGCUGUCGGCUAGAACGCGCUCGACGGUGAGGGACGAAAGCUGGGGGAGUGAACCGGAUUAGAUACCCGGGUAGUCC
rnacentral:rRNA from 1 species